UGGGAGAUAGUCUUUCUUGAAAUUCUCUAUGCUGAACCGUUUCAGCACGGUGUCUAUGUACGUGAAUUAGGACAAUCCAAGUAAUCUUUUUAGAUUCAUCUGUAUAAAUCUUCAUCUCUAGGAUGUAAGAUACUUUUUCUAAAUCUUUCAUAGAGAACUGUAAUGAUAGCCAUAGCUUUAUACUUUAUAAAGUAAGAAUGUCAUUUUCUAUUAAGAGUGUGUUGAUCGCUAUCGUAGGUGGUCAAGAAUAAAAAUCAAUUCAAACUAUGU
rnacentral:lncRNA from 1 species